CCUACGGGAGGCAGCAGUGGGGAAUAUUGCGCAAUGGGCGAAAGCCUGACGCAGCGACGCCGCGUGAGGGAUGAAGGUCUUCGGAUCGUAAACCUCUGUCAGCAGGGAAGAACGGUCACUGUGCUAAUCCGCCGUGAAUUGACGGUACCUGCAAAGGAAGCACCGGCUAACUCCGUGCCAGCAGCCGCGGUAAUACGGAAGGUGCGAGCCUUAAUCGGAAUUACUGGGCGUAAAGCGCUCGUAGGCGGUAUGUCCAGUCAAGGGUGAAAUCCCCGCGCUCAACGUGGGAACUGCCGUUGAAACGGGCAAACUGGAGUGUGUGAGAGGAGAGUGGAAUUCCAGGUGUAGGAGUGAAAUCCGUAGAUAUCUGGAGGAACAUCAGUGGCGAAGGCGACUAUCUGGCACAUAACUGACGCUGAGGAGCGAAAGCGUGGGUAGCAAACAGGAUUAGAUACCCUAGUAGUC
rnacentral:rRNA from 1 species